AACGAACGCUGGCGGCAUGCCUAACACAUGCAAGUCGAACGAGACCUUCGGGUCUAGUGGCGCACGGGUGCGUAACGCGUGGGAACCUGCCUUUAGGUUCGGAAUAACUCAGAGAAAUUUGAGCUAAUACCGGAUGAUGUCUUCGGACCAAAGAUUUAUCGCCUUUAGAUGGGCCCGCGUUGGAUUAGCUAGUUGGUGGGGUAAAGGCCUACCAAGGCGACGAUCCAUAGCUGGUCUGAGAGGAUGAUCAGCCACACUGGGACUGAGACACGGCCCAGACUCCUACGGGAGGCAGCGGUGGGGAAUAUUGGGCAAGGGGCGAAAGCCUGAUCAAGCAAUGCCGCGUGAGUGAUGAAGGCCUUAGGGUUGUAAAGCUCUUUUACCCGAGAUGAUAAUGACAGUAUCGGGAGAAUAAGCUCCGGCUAACUCCGUG
rnacentral:rRNA from 1 species